UACGUAGGGGGCAAGCGUUGUCCGGAAUCAUUGGGCGUAAAGAGUGUGUAGGCGGUGCUCUAAGUUCGGUGUGAAAUCUCCUGGCUCAACUGGGAGGGUGCGCCGGAAACUGGAGUGCUUGAGCGUGGGAGAGGAAAGCGGAAUUCCUGGUGUAGCGGUGAAAUGCGUAGAUAUCAGGAGGAACACCUGUGGUGUAGACGGCUUUCUGGACCAUAGCUGACGCUGAGACACGAAAGCGUGGGUAGCAAACAGG
rnacentral:rRNA from 1 species